GACAGGCUGAUUUGCUCUAACAAAGACUGUGACUCAGAGGCUGUUUUUCUUUUUUCUUUCUUUUUUUUAGCGGGGGCUGCCCUGAGUGGCAUGCGGGAUCUUAGUACCCUGACCAAGGAUGGAACACUGAAGUGGAAGAGGACCGCCAGGGAAGUCCCCAGAGGCUGUUUUUCUUUCACGUGUCCGUUCAUAUAUAACAGGAGAGUCCCAUGAACUGCUCUAUGGUGAAUUGUGUACUCACUGAAAGUGCUGUAGAAACAAUCCUCGCUGGAGAAGUAAUAAGACAAUGUCCGCUCGGGGAUCAAGGCUUCCAAGGGUGGUGGUGGUAGCUCUCAGAAGUCUCCAGAGCCAGCAGUCACUAAAAUCAGAGCACCAGAUGCAAAUGUACAGUUUCCUCUUCAGGAGACACUGACACUCUGGAUCUCCUCAGUGGAAGAGUUUGAAGACAGCACUAGCCCAGAGUUCCCUGGAGAGGAUGACAUUGGGCAUGUAAGUGUGUGUUUAAUUAGGAGCCUGCCCCUCAAGCAGCAGCUAGGAAGACACAUAAGUGUAAGCUCUCUAGUUUAAAAUCACGAUAAAAGACUUGACUUAUGUCUGCAAAACUGCUUCAUGGUAUCACUUGGAUUAGUUUAGUGCCUGAUUGAAUAAUCAGAGGUGUGUGCAUGCUAAAACAUGCUGCUGCCCUCACUUCCCCCUUUGUAGUCUAGCCCGGCCAAGUUGGCAUGUCAAGAAGCCAUCAUGAGGUUAUAUGCUGCAAAAGUUA